rnacentral:rRNA from 1 species
AGAGUUUGAUCCUGGCUCAGGAUGAACGCUGGCGGUAUGCUUAACACAUGCAAGUCGAACGGUGUCUUCGGACACAGUGGCGGACAGGUGAGUAACGCGUGAGAAUCUAGCUUUAGGUCGGGGACAACCACUGGAAACGGUGGCUAAUACCGGAUGUGCCGAGAGGUGAAAGGCUUGCUGCCUAAAGAUGAGCUCGCGUCUGAUUAGCUAGUUGGUGGGGUAAGAGCCUACCAAGGCGACGAUCAGUAGCUGGUCUGAGAGGAUGAUCAGCCACACUGGGACUGAGACACGGCCCAGACUCCUACGGGAGGCAGCAGUGGGGAAUUUUCCGCAAUGGGCGAAAGCCUGACGGAGCAAUACCGCGUGAGGGAGGAAGGCUCUUGGGUUGUAAACCUCUUUUCUCAGGGAAGAAAAAAA